rnacentral:rRNA from 1 species
UACGUAGGGGGCAAGCGUUGUCCGGAUUUAUUGGGCGUAAAGCGCCCGCAGGCGGCCAUCUGCGUCGUGCGUGAAAUUUCUCGGCUCAACCGGGAGGGGUCGUGCGAUACGGGGUGGCUCGAGGCCGGUAGGGGGGAGUGGAAUUCCCGGUGUAGUGGUGGAAUGCGUAGAGAUCGGGAGGAACACCAGUGGCGAAGGCGGCUCCCUGGACCGGUACUGACGCUCAGGGGCGAAAGCGUGGGGAGCGAUCCGGAUUAGAAACCCCCGUAGUCC